GAAGGCACAGCUCAGUGGUAGGGUGCCUGCUUAGCAUGCACGAGGUCUUAGGUUCAAUCCCUAGUACCUUCA
rnacentral:tRNA from 1 species